rnacentral:lncRNA from 1 species
AUCUAUUUUCCACUACAUUAAAGAAGGAUUUGGAGGACCAAAGGUUGACACGUCUCCCCAAAACCCUCCUUUAUUCUCUCUCUCCCGCUAUAUAAAUAAUAUAAAAUUUUAAAUUUAGACAUCUAUUUUUUUCUACUAUAUUAAAUGAGGGUUUGGGGGACCAAAGGUUAACACGUGUCUGCCCGAAAUCGUCCUUUAUUCUCUCUCCUUCUAUAUAUAUAUAUAUAUAUAAAAUUUUAAAUUUUGAUAUCAAAAUUUAAAAUUUUGAUACUUUUAAAUUUUAUAUUUUAAAUUAUAAAUUUUAAUUUUAACUUGUAAUCAAAUUUUAUACUUCAAAAUUUAAAAUUUAAAAUAUCAAAACUCUAUAAAAUUAAUUAAUUAAUUCUAUUAAUAAUUAAUUAAAUAUAUUAUAUUUAAUUCAUUUUAUUAAUAAUACGCGUAAUAAAUCGCAUAAUAAAAUCUAACCUAAUAGAUGCAAUUUAAAUCACGUAAAAUAUCGCUGUAUAAAAAAAUAC